UGCAUGCGGUUUGAUACUGUGUUUCGCUUCGCUACAUUGUGGAGCGCGACGCGUCUCGUUCCCGUGUUAUGCUACCUAGACGCGUGUAUAUAUCGUUCACCUUUGAUCUUUGACCCCUUAUUAAUUAGGGAUAUUUUGCGUUUCUCGACCCUCCUACCGAUCGAUGCCGUUUUUUUGGGCUUUGCAAUGUGUGCGGUCUUGCCUAGCAUCUUGUGAGGGGUAGCGGUGAAUUCGCGUAGUAGCGCGUUGGCGCGGCGCGCCGACUGCGUUACCACGUGAUCAUCGGGACACUCCAAAUGGGUGUACGGUGGUCUGGGACACCCGGUAUAUACUAGCGAGAAAAGUUUUUACUUUUAUAAUUUUCCUAGUUUAUAAAAUAAACUCAAAAAACGAAGUAGCAAUGUUGCGAUGAGAUAAUUCUACACUUAAAUUUAAAAAUUUCUUUACAAUAAAAAAAAUACGCUGUUAAUGUACUGAUAAUUAGAUAAUAGUAAAUAUUUUCGGUUUUCUUAAAAUAAAAUCAACAGGUAAUAUACGAUUAGAAUCCCUUUUUAAUCAAUAAGAAGUCAACAAACCGAACUAAAAGUUAAAUCUUGCAUAACAUCCAUGUCACUCAAGGUCUGGGACAUUGCAUUUCUCGUUUUAAACCGAUACUGUACUAAAUGGUUCAGUGGAGCCACAGACAAAACAAGAAAAUUAAUUUUAAGACAAAAAGUUUUAAGCUGUCAGUUAAAAAUAUAAUAACGACAUAAAAUAAUAUAAUUCAAAAUGUUUAAUAAGUAAUGUUCCCUCUAAUUUUUUGAUGGCGUGCCAGAAAAAUCGUCACAGGUAAAAAAUACGAAAUUUCAAAUUGUAUUAUUGUUUUCAUAGCUUGUGAUUUAAUAUAUAAAACAGAAUGCAACACAGUUCACUAAUGUUUUAAAAUUAAAAAUCGGAUAGUCUGCUCUUGUACUGUGAACCAGCAAAUGUGCUCGAAAAAAUUUAAAGCUGCACAGACAUAUUGUCCAUGCAGCUUUCAGGGAACGUUGUAUACAGCAGGGUAUUCAAGUAGAUAUAUCAUAACUUAGAGCUGAUUUCACAUCAACAUAAUGAAUAUUUAUGAAGCUAUGACUGUUUGAAUUUUAAGAAACAGUCAAAUAAUUAUCGAGAGUACGAAACAAAAAUUUUGAAAACAAUAAUACAAAAUAGGCCUACUGUACCAACAAAAAUGCAUGUAAAUCUUUGCUUCAUAUCAAUUACAAAUUUUUUUCGUGAAAUCACUCAUCAUUUUAUACACUUGAAAUAGGAAACAGUUUUUUACAUUAUUUUAUGUCGCUUUUUGUGUCUAUACAACUCGUACAUUUUGGUAGAAUUUAUUCUCCUUGCGAAUUUUUGUUAAUAUGUUUUCUUAUUCCCCAUAAUUACUUGAUAAUCAUUUAAGAUUCUGAUUGUUAUAACUAUAAAUAUCCAGAAUCUGAUCUAUGUUUUUAUUCAUAAUCAUCCUAGAAAUUAGUUCCUUAUAAUAUAGCUUAUGUAUUCUGCUGUAUAAAUCAAUAUCAAAUUGGAUUCACAACUUGACUGACUAGUUCCAUAUUAGUCCAUAACUUUGUUUAGACUAGUGGUAGAGUGUGUUUACAUGGUAGAGUGUGUAAGAAAUUUUCAGGUUUUUUUGCUAGUCAUAGUUCGUGUUUCUUAUAUGGGAAUAUGUGCUACUUUUCUUUAUUAAUAAAGCUUACACAAUUAGAAAGUUGGUAACUGUUGACUUAGACUUCUGAAUUUUUAAAAAGCUGUUUUCCAUAAAUUUUUGAUUCUUUCAAGAAGCUUUUUUCUCAAUAUCUUAAUUGAUACGUGAAAUUUGUGUAUACGUAGAUUUAAAUAUUUCGGCG
rnacentral:lncRNA from 1 species